GAUGAACGCUAGCUACAGGCUUAACACAUGCAAGUCGCAGGACUGGCGCACGGGUGAGUAACGCGUAUCCAACCUUCCCAUGACCACGGGAUAACCCGUUGAAAGACGGACUAAUACCGUAUGGUGCUGGAUGGGGAUGAGUCUGAUUAGCUUGUUAGCGGGGUCACGGCCCACCAAGUCGACGAUCAGUAGGGGUUCUGAGAGGGAGGUCCCCCACCUUGGAAUCGGGUCACGGUCCAAAAUCCUACGGGAGGCAGCAGUGAGAAAGAUUGGUCAAUGGGCGAGAGCCUGAACCAGCCAAGUAGCGUGCAGGACGACGGCCUAUGGGUUGUAAACUGCUUUUAUGCGGGGAGAGGUACCGCAUGAAUAAGGAUCGGCUAAUUCCGUGCCAGCAGCCGCGGUAAUUC
rnacentral:rRNA from 1 species